rnacentral:rRNA from 1 species
GUGAACGCUGGCGGUAGGCCUAACCCAUGCAAGUCGAACGGCAGCACAGUAAGAGCUUGCUCUUACGGGUGGCGAGUGGCGGACGGGUGAGGAAUACAUCGGAAUCUACUUUUUCGUGGGGGAUAACGUAGGGAAACUUACGCUAAUACCGCAUACGACCUACGGGUGAAAGCAGGGGAUCUUCGGACCUUGCGCGAUUGAAUGAGCCGAUGUCGGAUUAGCUAGUUGGGGGGGUAAAGGCCCACCAAGGCGACGAUCCGUAGCUGGUCUGAGAGGAUGAUCAGCCACACUGGAACUGAGACACGGUCCAGACUCCUACGGGAGGCAGCAGUGGGGAAUAUUGGACAAAGGGCGCAAGCCUGAUCCAGCCAUACCGCGUGGGUGAAGAAGGCCUUCGGGUUGUAAAGCCCUUUUGUUGGGAAAGAAAAGCAGCAGGUUAAUACCCCGCUGUUCUGACGGUACCCAAAGAAUAAGCACCGGCUAACUUCGUG